rnacentral:rRNA from 1 species
AUUGAACGCUGGCGGAAUGCUUUACACAUGCAAGUCGAACGGCAGCACGGGGGCAACCCUGGUGGCGAGUGGCGAACGGGUGAGUAAUACAUCGGAACGUGCCCAGUCGUGGGGGAUAACGUAGCGAAAGUUACGCUAAUACCGCAUGCGAUCUACGGAUGAAAGCGGGGGACCGUAAGGCCUCGCGCGAUUGGAGCGGCCGAUGUCAGAUUAGGUAGUUGGUGAGGUAAAGGCUCACCAAGCCGACGAUCUGUAGCUGGUCUGAGGGGACGACAAGCCACACUGGGACUGGGACACGGCCCAGACUCCUACGGGAGGCAGCAGUGGGGAAUUUUGGACAAUGGGCGCAAGCCUGAUCCAGCCAUUCCGCGUGCAGGACGAAGGCCUUCGGGUUGUAAACUGCUUUUGUACGGAACGAAAAGGCUCUGGUUAAUACCUGGGGCUCAUGACGGUACCGUAAGAAUAAGCACCGGCUAACUACGUGCCAGCCGCCGCCGUAA